rnacentral:rRNA from 1 species
ACCAGACUCCUACGGGAGGCAGCAGUGGGGAAUAUUGCACAAUGGGGGAAACCCUGAUGCAGCGACGCCGCGUGAGUGAAGAAGUAUUUCGGUAUGUAAAGCUCUAUCAGCAGGGAAGAAAAUGACGGUACCUGACUAAGAAGCCCCGGCUAACUACGUGCCAGCAGCCGCGGUAAUACGUAGGGGGCAAGCGUUAUCCGGAUUUACUGGGUGUAAAGGGAGCGUGGACGGCAGGGCAAGCCAGAAGUGAAAACGCAGAGCUUAACUUUGCGACUGCUUUUGGAACUGCCCAGCUAGAGUACAGGAGAGGUAAGUGGAAUUCCUAGUGUAGCGGUGAAAUGCGUAGAUAUUAGGAGGAACACCAGUGGCGAAGGCGGCCUGCUGGACGAUGACUGACGUUGAGGCUCGAAAGCGUGGGGAGCAAACAGGAUUAGAUAUCCCGGUAAAG